rnacentral:tRNA from 1 species
GUUAACGUAGCAUAACCCGGGCUUGCAAAAGAUCUAAGCCCUUUCAGUAGAGGUUCAAAUCCUCUCGUUAACU